AACGAACGCUGGCGGCAUGCCUAACACAUGCAAGUCGAACGGCAGCACGGGAGCAAUCCUGGUGGCGAGUGGCGAACGGGUGAGUAAUAUAUCGGAACGUGCCCAGUCGUGGGGGAUAACGUAGCGAAAGCUACGCUAAUACCGCAUACGAUCUAUGGAUGAAAGCGGGGGAUCGCAAGACCUCGCGCGAUUGGAGCGGCCGAUAUCAGAUUAGGUAGUUGGUGAGGUAAAGGCUCACCAAGCCGACGAUCUGUAGCUGGUCUGAGAGGACGACCAGCCACACUGGGACUGAUACACGGCCCAGACUCCUACGGGAGGCAGCAGUGGGGAAUUUUGGACAAUGGGUGCAAGCCUGAUCCAGCAAUGCCGCGUGCAGGAUGAAGGCCUUCGGGUUGUAAGCUGCUUUUGUACGGAACGAAACGGCGAGCUCUAAUACAGUUUGCUAAUGACGGUACCGUAAGAAUAAGCACCGGCUAACUACGUGCCAGCCGCCGCCGUAAGAC
rnacentral:rRNA from 1 species